rnacentral:rRNA from 1 species
UAGGGAAUCUUCCGCAAUGGACGAAAGUCUGACGGAGCAACGCCGCGUGAGUGAAGAAGGAUUUCGGUUCGUAAAACUCUGUUGUUAGGGAAGAAAAAAUGUAUAGUAACUAUAUACAAAAGAGACGGUACCUAACCAGAAAGCCACGGCUAACUACGUGCCAGCAGCCGCGGUAAUACGUAGGUGGCAAGCGUUGUCCGGAAUUACUGGGCGUAAAGCGCGCGCAGGUGGUUUAGAAAGUCUGAUGUGAAAGCCCACGGCUCAACCGUGGAGGGUCAUUGGAAACUAAUAAACUUGAGUGCAGGAGAGAAAAGUGGAAUUCCUAGUGUAGCGGUGGAAUGCGUAGAAAUUAGGAGGAACACCGGUGGCGAAAGCGGCUUUUUGGCCUGCAACUGACACUGAGGCGCGAAAGCGUGGGGAGCAAACAGG